AGUAAAGUCACAUUGUUUACAGCCUCCC
rnacentral:sRNA from 1 species